GUGCCAGCAGCCGCGGUAAUACGGAGGGUGCAAGCGUUAAUCGGAAUUACUGGGCGUAAAGCGCGCGUAGGCGGUUUGUUAAGUCAGAUGUGAAAGCCCCGGGCUCAACCUGGGAAUGGCAUUUGAGACUGGCAGGCUAGAGUAUGGUAGAGGUGAGUGGAAUUUCAGGUGUAGCGGUGAAAUGCGUAGAGAUCUGAAGGAACAUCAGUGGCGAAGGCGACUCACUGGGCCAUUACUGACGCUGAGGUGCGAAAGCGUGGGUAGCAAACAGGAUUAGAAACCCCCGUAGU
rnacentral:rRNA from 1 species